rnacentral:lncRNA from 10 species
UUGCUAUGUUGCCCAGGCUAGUCAACUCCUGACCUUAAGUGAUACUACUGCCUUGGUCUCCCAAAGUUUUGGGAUUACAGAUGCGAGCCGUAGCAUCUGGUUGCUGUUUUUAGUAAUGAUCACUAAACUGGAUAGAUUACUGGGAUCGAUGUUGGAAUAUGCACAUAGGAGUGCCAGGAACCUGCUAGACAUCGCCUGUGCUUUGCCCUGUAUUUGGAAGCCCAUUGGGAAAUUUGAAAAGGUCUGAGAAGAAUCAUCCCGUCUGUUAAGUGAUAAUUUGAGAAGAAAGAAACAUCGUCCUUGAAGUGCAGAGAGUUGCUUCUCUCUUGACACCUUAGAGGCAAGUCCAGGGAGCAGAAUUAAGUGACAGUAAAAGGAAAAGAUCACAUGUAUCACAGGAAUGAGAAAUCCUUAUGGCUAAGUCAGCUUUCCACAGUUAGGCUACACUUUGAUGUUGGCAAAAGUUUCCCUAGUGGGAGAGACAUAGGGAAAAGGGCAGAGGAAUAAAGAGACAGCUUCACUUACCCAGUCUAAGUAAAGAGGUGAACAGUUCAUCCAUCUAAUAUUUAAUAUGGGCUUCUCUUGUGAAGAGCUGGAAAUGCAUUUAUUAAAGUCUGCAUAAGCAGUUGAGUUAUAACCUCCAAAAUAAACUGGAAGAAAUAAAGGAAAAGAAACUGACUUACUGAAAAGUUUAUAAGCCCUCACAGAGAGCCAAGCUGCAAACAAGAAUCCAUGCAGAGCUGAAGGGAUGUCUCCGGGGGAUUAGUUGCAGAAUUGUUUUCUCUAGUGGAUGCUGUAGUGUAUGGACCGAUUCCUCCAUUGAUGGCCAAACUACUCAUUCCCCCACCUGCUGAGAAUCAGAGUGUGGACGGCUGAUGACUCAUGACUGAGUUCCUUACCAGGAAUUAACCUUGACUGGGCCCAAGUGUAUGCUCCCUGUCUGGGUUCAAAUUAAAAUCCAAAACGUAGUCUAUGUGGGAGUACAGAUACCCAGUCAUCAUGUCUCAGUUUGGGGCAGCUCUGAUGGGUCCUCCCAGUUCUAGAACCAGCUGUAGUCUUUAUUGUAAUGGCAUCAUAGUUCAGCUUGCCCUUGCCUAAUUCUGCUGCCUUCCUUUCUUCACUGGUGUUCUUUCCCAAACAACUCGGGAAUAAAUUCCC